GCCCCUUUAGCUCAGUUGGUAGAGCACGGGAUUCUUAAUCCCUAGGUCGCAGGUUCGAGCCCUGCAGGGGGCACCA
rnacentral:tRNA from 1 species